rnacentral:rRNA from 1 species
UACGUAGGGGGCAAGCGUUGUCCGGAAUCAUUGGGCGUAAAGAGCGCGUAGGCGGUCCGGUAAGUCCGCUCUGAAAGUCCGGGGCUCAACCCCGGGAGGCGGGCGGAUACUGUCGGGCUAGAGUCCGGAAGAGGUGAGUGGAAUUCCUGGUGUAGCGGUGAAAUGCGCAGAUAUCAGGAGGAACACCAAUGGCGAAGGCAGCUCGCUGGGACGGUACUGACGCUGAGGCGCGAAAGCGUGGGGAGCAAACAGG